GAGCGCCGUAGCAAUACGGAGCGGCAGACGGGAGAGUAACACGUGGGAACGUACCCUUUGGUUCGGAACAACCCCAGGGAAACUUGGGCUAAUACCGGAUAAGCCCUUACGGGGAAAGAUUCAUCGCCGAAGGAUCGGCCCGCGUCUGAUUAGCUAGUUGGUGGGGUAAUGGCCCACCAAGGCGACGAUCAGUAGCUGGUCUGAGAGGAUGAUCAGCCUCACUGGGACUGAGACACGGCCCAGACUCCUACGGGAGGCAGCAGUGGGGAAUCUUGGACAAUGGGCGCAAGCCUGAUCCAGCCAUGCCGCGUGGGUGAUGAAGGCCCUAGGGUUGUAAAGCCCUUUCGGCGGGGAAGAUAAUGACGGUACCCGCAGAAGAAGCCCCGGCUAACUUCGUG
rnacentral:rRNA from 1 species